rnacentral:misc_RNA from 1 species
GCAAACUUGGUCAUUUAGAGGAAGUAAAAGUCGUAACAAGGUUUCCGUAGGUGAACCUGCGGAAGGAUCAUCACUGAUUCGCGGGGUCCGUGUUUCCUGUGUGUGUGUGUGUGCUGCGUGUAUAGCGCGCGCGCACACACACCUCACAUAGCGAGCCGCCCCAAACCAAUCUUGUGUGCACCGUUUCACUGGUCAAGGAUGACGUGUGGUGGUUGUGUGUGUUGGUGAUGGGGAAGGAAGGGAAGUGCAUGCAUGCAUGCAUGCAUGCGUGCGUGCGUCGUGCGCGCGCUGCGCUGCUGCUGCUUCUUCCCCCACCGACUGCACGCACCCUGUCGUUCUAAAUUAUACAACAACCUCUUUGUUAACUUUGUCUAACGUAUUUUGCUUGAAAUAACACAUACAACUUUUAACAAUGGAUCUCUUGGCUCUCGCAUCGAUGAAGAACGCAGC